AUUGUGUCCCUGCAUCAAGACUCAUUUGAAUGGUUAAUGGACGGAGCACAUUUAACCAUCACAAUUGACAUGAUCACAUUUUAAGUCUAUUUAGCACACUGAAGUUAGAACUAUAUUUAUAUAAACUGUUCCCAAUUAUGGUAAAUAUGAAACUAGCCCCACGGUUAAUAAAUGGUUCUAAUCAGUGGGAAAGGUAAAAUCAAUAACCACAGUAUUUUAAUCUUACGAAUAAUGACUUAUAACAAGAGCUAAAAACAACAUGGAGCAUUCCCUACGAAUCCAUGACAAUUCUGGGGCCGGUGACAAAAACCGUCCGGGCGAAAAGCAGGCGCUUCAAGUGGAGGCUAAAACACGGUCCUCUCACAUUCCAUUGCGUAGCAAGGGGGGAUUUAAGGAGACUUAUUUCCUUAAAACUGUCCUCCCAUCCACAGAGCGCCCAGUCUGCUCUGAUCAAGUUGAUAUAGCAAAAUUUUAGCCAGGCUAUAGGGAAUACUAUACGAGGCGGACUAACCGAAGAUUUGGCCCUUAUAUAUUAUUACCAGAUAUAAUACUAUUUCCUGGUGGUGUAUUUUUUAAACAAGUUAAUAGCUUUAAAUAUCAGCCAUGUUAAGACAUGCUGUUGUGGGUGGAACACAUCGACAGAGAAAACACCAUCCCUGCAGGAGUUUGGUGACAUCCGACUUAUUUCAGUGGAUGCAUUUUUUGCACCCUUGAAUUGACUGGAGAACUCAGUCGGCCACUUACACUUCAGGAGAAAAUCAACGCCAACUGUUUUUAUCUCUCAAAGAAUUGGAUGAAUGGAAAUCGUCGGGGAUCACGCCGUCUAGACUUUUUUUUCUCUAUCAAUCUUCUGUUCCGGACUCGUCAUGUUUGCAUCUCGACUGGAGUAAAGUUUUCCAACAUGUGAUCUAGUUUAUGACCGGGGUUUUAUCAGCCUACAGCCGUUCUCUGUCUGAGGGAUGUAUAGGGACAUGGCAAGUUGUCAGGCUUUCUCUCACGGCCGCCCACCCAGUGCUAGGCUAGCUCUCUCUCUCUCUCUGGAGGCUGAGGUGUCUGGUAAAACCUGGCGUGGUAAAACCUGCCCUGCAGACUGGACCUCUCUCCGUUACAGAGUUCAAAGGAGUAAGAACUAAAUGUGGAGGAUUUGUUCAGGCUUAUUUGGUAACCCAGGAUUUGAAUUGGAUUCCGGGAAGCAUUCUUAACACAUUUGAAAAUGUAACAUUGUGUGAAAAAAAGUGUGUAAUCCCCAUAAUACAUUUAGAAAUGGGCACAGCGCGCUAACACAACUGUGACUAUUCAUGAUUCCUAUCAAAUGGUUUCUUGUCUUGACUCUCUGGAGUGAGGUGAGUUUUGGAGGGAUUGGUGAGAUCUCAGGCGUUGAGAGAGCCAGUUAAGUAGUGGCUCUUCCAUAUUAACCUCUCUCUCAGCGCUGUUUUGGUUAUCUGACCUGAAUAUGAGAUGGGGUUCAGCCACCAUGCUACUUGAGGUAUUCUCUUAGGCCCCCCAACAGCAGUGGAGCAUUUAAACCCCCAGUGGAUUAUACCUCCCUGGGAGGAAGGUGAGUAACACACACACACACACACACACACACACACACACACACACACACACACACACACACAUUGUACUUUGUGUAUCAAAUAUAGUAACUGUUUUUAAGACAGUGAAAUAUUUAUAACUUGGUUUCCCAUCAGAGUCAUGGUCUCUACCCUGUUUGAAUGUAUUGUCUGGUACUACUGUUAGAAGAGAAUGAGAGAGAAGUGCUCUUAUGUCAGUCAGUCAGUCGGUGUUUGUACCUUGUCCAAACCCCACUUUGCUUUGACUGACACUUUGGCGAUGCCCCCAGCUCCCUGCUUCGACUUCUCAAGCAUACCCCCUGUUAGCCCUGACGCUGCCAAUUCCUCUCAUGUCUUUAAUAUCUCUCUUUGGGCCCUCAGGUUUUGCCAGUCGAGGCUCCACCAUGACAGUUGGACGUUGUUGCCGUCACAUUUUGGAGACAGUGCUGAGUGGGUGUUUGUGUCGUUCCCAGCCCCUGGGCUGGAGGGGAUCUGAGAUGGGACGGCUGGCCCGUCAGUCAGCCCCUCCCCUGUAAUUAGGAGAGUUAACACAGAGGCGGCCCGGCCAGGGAGGGAGGGGCCUGGGGGGGACAACCGGCUCAUGUUCUGAUGCUACUUGAGCUGUCCAGGCCAGGGACAGACACUGUUAACAGAGAGAUUCUCUUGAAGGCUCAUCUCCCUCUCCCAAUUUAGAAAGUCCCAAUAAAGUUGUACUGUAGCUCACAUUCUGUAAUAUCUAGAAGAGACUGCUUUUAGUUCAGUUGUUGUAUCAUCUUUAUAGUGAAUAAACAGUUGACAACUGAUGCUAUACAUCUUGAUAUUUUGAAAUGUUGCUAAAAGGAAGUAUAUGAACCACAAAUGGGUUUUUAGGAGGUUACAUAUUAUUUUAUACAGGCCUAUCUCUGAAGGCUAUGCUGAGACUGUGAGUAGUAUGUGUAGUAUAAUACUCUACUUACAUUUGAAAUUGAUCUAGAACACAACAGUUAAGGAUAUGUACAGUACAUGUUAUGUAUGCAAGUGAGUGUUAAUAAAGUGUUAAUAAUGAAUCAAUAAAAAGUUACAAUUUCA